CCUUCUCCUACACUCAGUGCAGAUAUGGAUGCCAUGUCACUUAUGUGUCUGUGCGUGACAGAAAAGAGCUAUGUCUAUGCUCAGUGUUGUGACCUAUGAAAAUCUGAAUAAUUAGUAGCUUAAUGUU